UGUUUUUAUAUUUCAAAUGCUAGAACUCAGUGUUGUCUGUCUGAAUUUCUCAAGAAUAAGAACUCAAGUUUUGAAGAAGAAUCAAAUGUUAAUCCUAUAGUACAUCAGAAUUGCACAGUACAACUAUUCAAAAGAAGUAAAUAUGAGCUCCACUCAUGGCUGAGUUUGUAAGACCUAAAUGAAUGAGGUGUAAUCUGGAGGCUACAGCCUGAUCUGAAAAGAAAGAAAGAAAGAAUGGUUCAGAAGUCCCUGAAACUAAGUUAUUGUUUGCAAGAGGUCAAGUCGUCAUCCUUUAAAACUCAUUUAAGACUAGCUGUCAUAUUAAAUGGUACUUUUGAAAAUAAAGAAAAUCUAAUGUGAA